rnacentral:rRNA from 1 species
GACGAACGCUGGCGGCGUGCCUAAUACAUGCAAGUCGAACGCAGUGGGGACGGGUGAGUAAAACGUGGGUAACCUCCCAUCAGAGGGGAUAACACGUGGAAACAGGUGCUAAACCGAUACUGGUUGAUGGACCCGCGGUGCAUUAGCUAGUGGGUGGGGUAACGGCUCACCAAGGCCACGAUGCAUAGCUGACCUGAGAGGGUGAUCAGCCACACUGGGACUGAGACACGGCCCAGACUCCUACGGGAGGCAGCAGUAGGGAAUCUUCGGCAAUGGACGAAAGUCUGACCGAGCAACGCCGCGUGAGUGAAGAAGGUUUUCGGAUCGUAAAACUCUGUUGUUAGAGAAGCGGUAUCUAACCAGAAAGCAACGGCUAACUACGUGCCAGCAGCCGCGGUAAUUC